rnacentral:rRNA from 1 species
AACGAACGCUGGCGGCAUGCCUAACACAUGCAAGUCGAACGAGACCUUCGGGUCUAGUGGCGCACGGGUGCGUAACGCGUGGGAAUCUACCCUCAGGUUCGGAAUAACUCAGAGAAAUUUGAGCUAAUACCGGAUGAUGACGUAAGUCCAAAGAUUUAUCGCCUGAGGAUGAGCCCGCGUAGGAUUAGGUAGUUGGUGAGGUAAAGGCUCACCAAGCCGACGAUCCUUAGCUGGUCAGAGAGGAUGAUCAGCCACACUGGGACUGAGACACGGCCCAGACUCCUACGGGAGGCAGCAGUGGGGAAUAUUGGAAAAUGGGCGAAAGCCUGAUCCAGCAAGGCCGCGAGAGUGAUGAAGGCCGUAGGGUUGUAAAGCGCUUUUACCCGGGAUGAUAAUGACAGUACCGGGAGAAUAAGCUCCGGCUAACUCCGUG